UACGGAGGGUGCAAACGUUGCUCGGAAUCAUUGGGCGUAAAGCGCACGUAGGCGGUCCAGCAAGUCGGGUGUGAAAGCCCUCGGCUUAACCGAGGAAGUGCAUUCGAAACUACUGGACUUGAGUACUGAAGAGGGUCGCGGAAUUCCCGGUGUAGAGGUGAAAUUCGUAGAUAUCGGGAGGAGCACCAGUGGCGAAGGCGGCGACCUGGGCAGAUACUGACGCUGAGGUGCGAAAGCGUGGGGAGCAAACAGG
rnacentral:rRNA from 1 species